UUGGAGGGCAAGUCUGGUGCCAGCAGCCGCGGUAAUUCCAGCUCCAAUAGCGUAUAUUAAAGUUGUUGCAGUUAAAAAGCUCGUAGUUGAACUUCAGGCCUGGCUGGACGGUCCGCCUUCCGGGCGAGUACUGUCUGUGGUCGGGUCCUACCUUCUGGCGAAGCGUCAUGGCCUUAACCGGCCGUGGCGGGGAACCAGGACUUUUACUGUGAAAAAAUUAGAGUGUUCAAAGCAGGCAAUUUCGCUUGGAUACAUUAGCAUGGAAUAAUGGAAUAGGACAAUGGUUCUAUUUGUUGGUUUCUAGGACUGUUGUAAUGAUUAAUAGGGAUAGUUGGGGGCAUUAGUAUUCAAUUGUCAGAGGUGAAAUUCUUGGAUUUAUUGAAGACUAACUACUGCGAAAGCAUUUGCCAAGGAUGCUUUCAUUAAUCAAGAACGAAAGUUAGGGGAUCGAAGACGAUCAGAUACCGUCGUAGUCUUAACCAUAAACUAUGCCGACUAGGAAUCGGACGAAGUUAAUUUUUUAAUGACUCGUUCGGCGCCUUACGGGAAAC
rnacentral:rRNA from 1 species